rfam:Lechevalieria aerocolonigenes strain NRRL B-16140 contig13.4, whole genome shotgun sequence.
ACGGGUUCAGUCCGACCCCCCGGGACUGAACCAUUGACGACCCCCGUCCCUCCCCCCUGGCGGGGGUCGUCCCAU